GCGAGCGGGCGAUGCGGCCGCUCGGUCAUACACGGACCGGGAGGAAAGUCCGAACUCCGCAGGGCACGAUGGUCGCUAACGGCGACCGGCCGCAAGGCCAGGGAAAGUGCAACAGAGAGCAGACCGCCGAUGGCCCGCCGAAGCCCCGGCUCGCCGGGGCGAACGCGGGCUCAGGCAAGGGUGAAACGGUGCGGUAAGAGCGCACCGCCCGCCUGGCGACAGGCGGGGCACGGCAAACCCCAUCGGGAGCAAGGCCAAAUAGGGGGCGACGGAGCGGCCCGCUCCGCUCCCGGCUUCGGCCGGGAUAAGCCCCGGGUUGGCUGCUUUGAGCCGCGCGGCAACUCGCGGCCAAGACAAAUGGCCGCAGCCCCGGCUCCGGCCGGGGCCACAGAAUUCGGCUUACCGCCCGCCCGCCGGA
rnacentral:RNase_P_RNA from 1 species